rnacentral:ncRNA from 1 species
UGAAAAAGAUAUAAGGAAAGGUAGCUCAUUGUCACCACUCUACAUCAUAAUGGUGGAUUCCUUAAGUAGACGAUUAGAUCAAGAGAAGAUAGUUGAAAACUUACAGGGAAUUUUAAGGGGAAUCUGACUGUUUAAUUAAAACUAGUACGGACAAAGGGAAUCUGUCUGUUUAAUUAAAACAAAGAGUUGUGAUGGUCCCUACAAAUUCUGAUGCAAUGUGAUUUAUGCCCAUUUCUCUGCAUUUCAAAGUGAAGAAAUUCAACCAAGAGUGGGUAAAUGGCGGGAGUAACUAUGACUCUCUUAAGGUAUCCAGAUGCAUCAUCAUCUAAUUAGUGACAUGCAUGAAUGGAUUAAUGAGGUUCCCACUAUCCCUAGAUAGUAUCUAGAGAAACCACAUCCAAGGAAAUGGGCUUGGUAGAAUUAGUGGGGAAAUAAUACCCUGUUGCGCUUAACUCUAGUCCUAACCCAUUCAUAGUUUGGG